rnacentral:rRNA from 1 species
UACCAACCCGAUGCAAACUACGAAUACCGAAGAAUGUUAUCACGGGAGACACACGGCGGGUGCUAACGUCCGUCGUGAAGAGGGAAACAACCCAGACCGCCAGCUAAGGUCCCAAAGUCAUGGUUAAGUGGGAAACGAUGUGGGAAGGCACAGACAGCCAGGAUGUUGGCUUAGAAGCAGCCAUCAUUUAAAGAAAGCGUAAUAGCUCACUGGUCGAGUCGGCCUGCGCGGAA